CCUAUCGUAUGCUAUAUCUGAUCGCAGAAACUAUCACCAAAAGUCAAACCCCGUGUCUGUCUGUCUGGUGUGUGCUACUGAAAAUCAUCAAUCUCACCCAUGUGGGGGAUUGUUGGAAAUUUGUCAUUUUGAGCACCAAUUUGAGUGAGGCUCGGCUACGUGCUCGUGGCGGGUUAUGCUUGGAUUAUGUUCUCCUCCGAGAGAGCUUUCCAAUGCAUGUUUAUUCACUCAAAACGACUAAGGAAUGGAUGAGUUAUGAUGAUCCAAAGUUGUUUCCUUGGUAGUGGAAAAAAUGGAAUAGAAAGCUUGAAUCCCACAUAGAUUCAAUAAAGAGCCUUUAAAGGCUUUAUAUAGUAAAACACUUUGGUAGAGUCCAAAUGUGUUACUAGUGUUAUGCUCCACCACCUACGUGCGCGCAGGGGGGGUGCAAAUCGUGGGAUUUCGAG
rnacentral:lncRNA from 1 species